rnacentral:rRNA from 1 species
AUUGAACGCUGGCGGCAGGCCUAACACAUGCAAGUCGAACGGUAACAGGAAGCAGCUUGCUGCUUCGCUGACGAGUGGCGGACGGGUGAGUAAUGUCUGGGAAACUGCCUGAUGGAGGGGGAUAACUACUGGAAACGGUAGCUAAUACCGCAUAACGUCGCAAGACCAAAGAGGGGGACCUUAGGGCCUCUUGCCAUCGGAUGUGCCCAGAUGGGAUUAGCUAGUAGGUGGGGUAACGGCUCACCUAGGCGACGAUCCCUAGCUGGUCUGAGAGGAUGACCAGCCACACUGGAACUGAGACACGGUCCCGACUCCUACGGGAGGCAGCAGUGGGGAAUAUUGCACAAUGGGCGCAAGCCUGAUGCAGCCAUGCCGCGUGUAUGAAGAAGGCCUUCGGGUUGUAAAGUACUUUCAGCGGGGAGGAAGGGAGUAAAGUUAAUACCUUUGCUCAUUGACGUUACCCGCAGAAGAAGCACCGGCUAACUCCGUG